GAGGGUAUAGCUCAGUGGUAGAGCAUAUAUUUAACAUGCAUGAGGUCCUGGGUUCUAUCCGCAGCACCAUUA
rnacentral:tRNA from 1 species